GGGCACAAAGAAUCAAGGACCAAGGAAGCGAGGGAAGCGCCUCCCUGUACCACCAGUGCUUUACAAAAUACCAACAAGCAGAACGUAGCUCAGUAAGGAAAUGAAAACACUUACAUGCCGACUCAGGCAUAGGCACACCUUCGCCCAGUCCUAGGAAGGUGCUGUGCGAUUCUCAGUUACUCAGAGGAUGCAAGGGAGACAAGCCAGACCGAAGAGAAGAUACUGCUGGAUUCCACAGAUAACAAUUUCAAAACCAGACAAAUGAAAUCUGCAGUGUUCGAGUAGCACUAGAGAUUAUCUUGCUGAACUGGCUGUGUUCUUUUUUUUUUUAUCUGGGCACUGUUUAUACAAGCGAGCGUAUUAACUUUGCAGAAACAUACCAAGCCUAUGGCUUCUAUCAUUUGCUUGUCAUGCAGUGUUCUUCAGUAAAAAACUUACAUUAGAAAGCUAGCCUUCAGGGAAUAAAAGAUAAGUUAUUUUCUUCAUGUUAACAUAACAAAAUUGGGCAUGUAGUGCACACCUAUAAUCCCAGCACUGAGGAGGCUGAGGCAAGAGGAUUGCUGAGAAUUUGAGGCCAACCUGGGAUAUGUAGCGAGACCCUGUCUCAAAAAGAAAAAAAUUGCUGUGCAUUUUGAUCUAGAAAUUGUGCUCUUAAAUACUCUUCAAAUACACCUCGGGAAUAUAAAAAGAAAUAUAGUAAUCAUGUAUGUAAUUUCAAAGAGCAGUUUUAUGCCUAAUUUUUUUCCACCUAGCUAAAAUAAAUUCUCAAACUCUUGUAUAUGACCCAUGGGAAUUUACUCCAAAGUUCUGAAAAUGUAAAUUUAUUGAGCAUAUUGGUUUACUGGUGGUCUGCCUUUUUUUUUUUUUUGAGCCCUCUUUGAUGACGGAUAUUCUGUUUUUCCUGCAUGAAGACAGCACUACUGAAAACGCUCUGAACUCUGUGUGAUGGAAAUUUCCAGUCAGGAGCGGUGAGUCAGAGGCUGUGAAGUCCUGCCAGCUCAUCUGUGGGGGCGACAAGAGCAGAAAUUUGCAAAACAAGAUGCUGAGGAAUCACAGAAUGUCUCUCCAGAGGGCUCAGGUUGGAGCAGCGUGGUGCUACUUCCUCAGGUAGGAUGGAGACCAGAGAGGGGUGCUCCAUCCGAACACCCCAAGAACCUCUGUGGGGAGAGGGAACAGUGCCCACUGAGCAGUGUUUCCACCCGUGACUGCAAGGAGACAAAAGGCCCCACUUCCCCCACGUUUUCCUGGAAGACAGAGACACAGGGACCUCCAUUGCCAGCUGUGCCCUUUGGGACAGGAUCCCUAGGUUCUGCAGUGUCAGUUACUCAUGGACAACAGGCAUGGGCAGAGAGCCCACCGAGAGCGGCACGAAGAUGAGACUGCCUGGAAGGCGACUGGCCAAUAAUGGACACUGCUCCUUCUGCCACGGGAGGAUUUUGUCUUGUUACACUUGGUGUGUUACUUUGGAAAAAAAAAAAUCUAUACUUUAAAACAAAACAAAAACAUUUAAACACGUAAUUGUCAACUUGACUGGCGUAAGAGACUCCUUUGGGGUGAUGAGAUUCUGGGGCGCUGAAUACCCGGCUGUGCCCACCGCAGAGGUGGCCCGCUGGGGUGCCUGUGGAGGUUGCUGGUGCUCUGCCCUGGGCCUUGCUUCCCAGCGGCCACAAAGGAGCAGCUUUCCUCCUCCACACCCUUCCACUGCCAUGAUCCUCCUUCCGUGGUGGCAGCCGACCAUGAACCCUGAGCCGUGAGACCAAUAAAUCACUCCCUU
rnacentral:lncRNA from 1 species